UGGGGAAUCUUGCGCAAUGGACGAAAGUCUGACGCAGCAACGCCGCGUGGGGGAUGAAGCUUCUCGGAGUGUAAACCCCUUUCGACCCGGACGAAUGCCCGCAAGGGUUUGACGGUACGGGUAUAAGAAGCCCCGGCUAACUACGUGCCAGCAGCCGCGGUAAAACGUAGGGGGCCAGCGUUGCUCGGAAUUACUGGGCGUAAAGGGUCCGUAGGCGGUGUGGCAAGUCGGAAGUGAAAUCUCUGGGCUUAACCCAGAGGCUGCUUCCGAAACUGCUGUGCUAGAGUGCGAGAGAGGCGAGUGGAAUUGCGGGUGUAGCGGUGAAAUGCGUAGAUAUCCGCAGGAACAUCCGAGGCGAAAGCGGCUCGCUGGAUCGCAACUGACGCUGAGGGACGAAAGCUAGGGGAGCAAACAGGAUUAGAUACCCCCGUAGUCC
rnacentral:rRNA from 1 species